GGCAUUAAUUAGGUCAUCUUAAUUGCCGCUGUCUAUUCAUCAUUAUAGCCGACCUCGGAAUUCAAAACCGAUGCGACAGAUAGCUAUUUCUUCUUCCCCAAGUUCCUUUUUGUCUCUUCUAUCUCUUAUAUCUUUUUCAUUCUUCUAUUGUUUCCUUCCCUUCGCCUUUCAUACUUGUUAACAGAAUCUUCCGACUUCUCUCUUCUUUUUUGAACAAUGUCUUUGGUUCCUCCUCUUCCUUCUCAUUCGUCUCUUGACUAUACUAUACUCAAACCCUUCGUUGAUUUAGAUCCUUCUAGGUUUAUAUUAGGUCCUUCUCUUAUAGAUGAACCAUCUCCUACUGACUCCCCUUU
rnacentral:lncRNA from 1 species